AAAUUAAUAUUUAGAUAAAGAUAUGCAUAUCAGUUGAACAAGAUACCAGGUGCAUACUUUUGAUGAAUUGAUUUGAAGUAGGAUUUGAUAGAUGGAGGACAAUUUCUCAAUUUAGCAUGACGAUCUAAGUAACUUGACUCAAAUAUAUACAUAUUGUAGGUUUAUAUUCAAAUGCACUAUGCAAAAUGCCCCAGUGGGGUAUUUCUAAAUGCAACUUUUGUAUAUAUACUUUCCACGCAUAUCCAUGUAUUUUGUGUAGUGUAUCUGUUAAAACAUAGAUCUGUUCAAAACAUUUGCAUAAUCAUCAUAGAGAUUUUUGUAAACUUUUUAUAUGCAUUGUUCUAUUUUCACGUUUUUGGAUAUUUAUUUCUAAAUGCUGCAAUUUUUUCUGAAGUGUUGUGAUAUAUUUUUUCUUCAAAUAAAACAAUUUUGUACAUAU
rnacentral:sRNA from 1 species